GACAGAGGGUGCAAACGUUGUUCGGAAUUACUGGGCGUAAAGCGCGUGUAGGCUGCUUCGCAAGUCGGAUGUGAAAGCCCUGGGCUCAACCCAGGAAGUGCAUUCGAAACUGCAGAGCUGGAGUCCUGGAGAGGAAGGCGGAAUUCUCGGUGUAGAGGUGAAAUUCGUAGAUAUCGAGAGGAACACCGGUGGCGAAGGCGGCAUCCUGGACCGGUAUUGACGCUGAGGCGCGAAAGCCAGGGGAGCAAACGGG
rnacentral:rRNA from 1 species